UUAAUAAAACUCUCAUUAAGUGCUUAGCAUGGCUUCUGAUAAUAGUAGGCAUUCAGUAGAUGCUGGCUAUUAUUAUUAUUUUUUCCUUAGUUUUAAAGGUCAAACAUAUCACUAGAGAACACUUUAAGUUCUGAAUGUAUAAUUUUGAAUAAAUGUUAAACUUAGACUGUUUUUUCCAGUAACACUAAUUUUUACUGAAACUAAUGAUACUAACAUGUCACUAAAAGACGACAUGGUGGGGAUUAUAAAAGCAAUGUUUUUAGAAGUGAAAUAUUAGUAGCAUUAAUGAAGGUUAUAUUUUAUAAGUUGUGUGCCCAUUUAGAAAAAUGUGUGGUAGAAAAGAGUUUAGAAGUAUUAUUUGGUUGUGGAAUCCUUUGCUGAUAAUUGCCCUUCCUUUUAUAGCAAGCUCUGCCCCUCAAAUGGUUCUAUUAACCCUGGUGCCUAGAAAGCAAACUAUUUAGAAUAGUUGGCCUUUCUUCAGUUUGGAAGGUCUCUUCCCCUAGACAUUUGCAGGCCGGUAGACUUUCAGCCAGGGUCUAAUGAGUCUUGUCUUUGACAGCCUGAAAGUGUCUGACUCUGCUUUGAUCGGUUGGGAUUUAUUAGGAUGAGGAACAGAAAGUCGAAGGAACAUGUAAUGUGUAAAUAGAUGAAGGAAAGGUAAAGCUCCAUGAAAAAUCAUUGUCUUCUGUUCCUUGUAGUGUCCAGGAGGAAGUCAGAAGGAUGGUCAGAUCUUACCACAGUUGUAACGACACAUGAAUUUUUUGUUUUCUUCUUUUCUGUUUGUCUUCUUCUUCCCUCUCUAGAGGAUAAGCUCCAAAACAGGGGCUGUGUUUGUUGUGCUCACUGCUGUAUCCCCCUGUCCAGUGGCUAUUCAAAAAUAUUCAGCACAGAAUAUUAAUAUUUAACAGAUAUUAAAAUAUUUAACAGAUAUUUACAGAGUGCCUGUUGUAGGCUGGGGGCUACAGGGUGAACAAAAUGCAAAGCUUCCAGGAGCAUAGAGUCAAAUCCAAGAGCUAGACAUUAAUUGCCCGAUCAGAGUUUUAUCAUUAAACUUAAGCUUCUGAAGAAGACAAAUGUGGGAUAUUGUGAAGCACGUAGCAGAGGGGCAUGACUGGUGGGGAUGGGGUUCCUGGAUGGAAGGCAUCCCUGAGGAAGUGAUGUCUCAGCUGAGGCCUGAAAUGUGUUUUCUCAGUCACAGGGAUCUUUUUGCACACGGCUUACUCUGCCAACAACUGCUCUCCUCUCACUUUCCCCACCCUGACCCUGUCCAAAUUACCCUACUGAAAUAAUUCUGACUUCAACUCAGACAUCACCUUAGUAGGAAUGCCCUCCAUCCAGGAGAUAGUAUAUCAUCACACAGAUAACUUUGAAAAGAUGGAGUACAUGCUAAGUUGCUUUAGUCAUGUCCGACUCUGUGUGACUCUAUGGAGUGUAGCCUGCCAGACCCCUCUGUCCAUGGGAUUCUCCAGGCAAGAAUUCUGGAGUGGGUUUCUAUGCCCUUCUCCAAGGGGUUUUCCAAACCCAGAGAUUGAACCCACCUCUCUUAUGUAUCCUACACUAGCGACACCUGGGAAACCCCCAAGAUGGCUGAGGCUGGAGGUUUUAAAUGUAUUACAAAAGCUCUUUAAAAUAUACAGUAGUCCUCCCCCUGCCACACCCCAGCCCGUAGUUUCCCUUUCUGAAGUUUCAGUUACCUGUGGUCAGCCAUGGUCCAAAAAUAUUAAAUGGGAAAUUCCAGAAAUAAACAAUUCACGAGUUGUAAAUUGCAUGGUGUUCUGAGUAGUGUGAUGUCUCUGUGCCCUCUGGCCUGGGAUAUGAGUCAUCCCUUUGUCCAGCGUAUCCACACAGUAUGUUUCCAGCCCAUUUAGUCACAUAAUUGGUUCAGUUAUCAGAUUGGCUGUUGGAAUCAUAGUGCUGUGUUCAAGUAACACUUAUUUUACUUAGUAAUGACCCCAGUGUUCAAGAAUGAAUGUGUAUAUAAGGUUUGGUUCUAUCUGCAGUUUCAGGCAUCUGCUGAGAAUCCUGGAAUGUAUCCCCUGUGGCAGCGCAUUUCCAUCCUCUGAUUCGUCUGGUUCGAAUGCAGACUCUAAGCUCUUACCAGAGGCAUAAUCUGCAGAAGCUCUUCAAGAAUUUACAUAUUGGUUAUUGAAUAUUAUGUUAGGACUUUGGAGUAUGUAGUAAAUAAAUGUUAGUAAUUUGGCAUGUGGAUAUAAUUGUAAAUUCUUUUGUGUAUAAGCUGGCUUGAAACUCAACAUUAAAAAAUAUUAAGGUCA